rnacentral:lncRNA from 1 species
AACCUCAGCAGACUGUCAGCUUUUUAUGAGUGAUUAACCCUAGCUAUCUGAACUCCUUUGUGGAGUGGCUCAUCUCUCCCUGCCUAGGGGUCUCUAUCCCUACAGGGCUAUAGGCUUUUCUAUUACAUGGAGACUCAGGUUAAGGAACACUAAGACAUGAGCUCACUUCCUUGGCAACAUCUCCAAACAGAACUUGGAACCCUUGUUAAUGGGUGUCACAAUCUAGUAACAGCUGUGUUCCAAGCUCACUUGGCCAGAGACAGUCAAUAGCGAACAUGCUGAGCUGCUUCUCCACUUCAAGAGGCCACAGCCUCAGGACCCCAGGUAGAGAAAGUAUCUGUGAAAGAUUAAGAAGACAGCUGACUCCAUCCAGAUGCUUCAUGACUGUCACAGAUACCCCAGGGAUGGUCUCCCCAGGAGUGACCACCAGUGACCUACCAAAAAUCAAGAUGAAAAUUCCAUUUCUGUGAUGGGAGUCAAUGAACCUGCAAACAUUUUCAAAGGGACAGGGAAAGGUCAUAUGAGAGAAGAAAUCCAAGGGAUGACCAAAGACAGCCAGGGAGCCGAUCAGUUUCCGAGAGCCUACCUGGGGAGAAGGAGCUCAAUAAAAGGAGCUGGAGAAGAAGAAUCCAGGGAGUACCUCACUUUGGAAUGCUCCCCACUCCCCACUCACCCAGAGUAGCUGUCUGCUUCUCUCUCUCUCUCUCUCUCUCUCUCUCUCUCUCUCUCUCUCUCCC